rnacentral:lncRNA from 1 species
UGUGACAUUUUUGCAAUUUUCGGGAUAGUACAAGCCUCAGUUUUUUCAGAACCGAAGAAAUAUAGGGUCUAUGGCCUCAGUUGUCUAUAGAACCGAGGCCAUAACCCCCUACAAAACGCUGACAAUCUAGUUAGUUGUCUGAAGGAAAUCUAUGUACAAGAUUUUUGGCCUCGGUUACAUGCAAACCAAGGCCAUAACC